CCAAAGCGCUAUGUUUAAGGCAGUGUUAGCGUACAGAGCAGUACAGUGAAAAUAGUAGAGACAAGCUUGCUUUUAUAGUGUUUGAGAAAUUUAAAUGGAGAAAAAACAAAUGAAGAAACUGAUACAAAAUGAAGGACCAAAACAACACAGUCUGACGGUCCUACCAGUAAAGAGCUGGAUUGCUGCUAACUAGUGCAUUAGUGAAAUGAAAGGAGCUGAAGCCGAGAGGG
rnacentral:lncRNA from 1 species